UCUUUACUACUUCCUGCCUAGAAUGCGGAUGUACUUCAUGGUGGAAGUGCAGCCAUUUUGUAACCGUUAAGAGAAAGAGCUGCCUGCUAGAUAGGAGAUAGUGAGAUGUAAAGAAGUUUGGGUUCUUGAUGACUUUGUAAAGCUUUCCUAACAAGCAGCCCUGCCUCUAGACUUCAUACCAAAUGAGAAAAGCAGAAUUCACACUUUGUUUAAGCCACAACCAGAUUGCAAUCAACACUGUUGCACAAUGAACUUCUCUGCACACAUCCUGGAAGAACCAGAAUCCUAGGAGCAUGGAAGACUUAAUUCAUUCAACAGUAACCACCUCUUUUUAGCCUAAGACUUUGGCAGCCGAACAACAGAACAGGAAUUAUGUCAGCUUUUCUGCUUAGCAUGAGCUCUGCCCCAGAACCAAUGACAUAAAAUACGUAUGUUUGCUUUCCCUGCCACAAAGUUGCGACACAUUAUCAAAGCUUUACAAAGUCACUCUAUCUUAGGACACCCCUAGACAACUUGUUUCCAUCUUACUUCUGGGACAAAAAUAUUUACUGUAUCCUGCUUUCAUUGUCUUUGUGAAUAUUACAUUAAAUGUUGACAUGUGCUUGGCAAUUCAAAUUCAUUGGUUAAAUGUUUUUCUCCUCUCAAAAUUAUUUUUAAUAUAAUAGUCUAAUAAAUAUG
rnacentral:lncRNA from 1 species